rnacentral:rRNA from 1 species
GACGAACGCUGGCGGCGUGCCUAAUACAUGCAAGUCGAGCGGACUUGAUGAGGAGCUUGCUUCUCUGAUGGUUAGCGGCGGACGGGUGAGUAACACGUAGGCAACCUGCCUGCAAGCCUGGGAUAACUGCGGGAAACCGCAGCUAAUACCGGAUACGCAGUUGAGAUGCAUGUCUUAACUGGGAAAGGCGGAGCAAUCCGUCGAUAAUAGAUGAGCCUAAGUCGGAUUAGCUAGUUGGGGGGGUAAAGGCCUACCAAGGCGACGAUCUGUAGCGGGUCUGAGAGGAUGAUCCGCCACACUGGGACUGAGACACGGCCCAGACUCCUACGGGAGGCAGCAGUGGGGAAUAUUGGACAAUGGGGGGAACCCUGAUCCAGCCAUGCCGCGUGUGUGAAGAAGGCCUUAUGGUUGUAAAGCACUUUAAGCGAGGAGGAGGCUCUUUUGGUUAAUACCCAAGAUGAGUGGACGUUACUCGCAGAAUAAGCACCGGCUAACUCUGUGCCAGCCGCCGCCGUAAAAC